rnacentral:rRNA from 1 species
GUCGAACGCUGGCGGCGUGCCUAAUACAUGCAAGUCGAACGCAGUGGGGACGGGUGAGUAACCCGUGGGUAACCUCCCAUCAGAGGGGAUAACACUUGGAAACAGGUGCUAAACCCACAUUGAUGUAUGGACCCGCGGUGCAUUAGCUAGGUGGUGGGGUAACGGCUCACCAAGGCCACGAGGCAUAGCCGACCUGAGGUGGGGAUCGGCCACACCGGGACUGAGACACGGCCCAGACUCCUGCGGGAGGGAGCAGGAGGGAAUCUUCGGCAAUGGACGAAAGUCUGACCGCGUAAAGCCGCGUGAGUGAAGGAGGUUUUCGGAUCGUAAAACUCUGUUGUGAGAGAAGCGGUAUCUAACCAGAAAGCCACGGCUAACUACGGGCCAGCAGCCGCGGUAAUUC